rnacentral:rRNA from 1 species
GAGCGGACAUCUUCGGAUGUUAGCGGCGGACGGGUGAGUAACACGUGGGCAAUCUGCCUGACAGACUGGAAUAACGCCUGGAAACGGGUGCUAAUGCCAGAUAGCGCAGCGGGUAGGCAUCUACCAGCUGGGAAAGGUGCUACGGCACUACUGUCAGAGGAGCCCGCGGCGCAUUAGCUAGUUGGUGAGGUAACGGCCCACCAAGGCGACGAUGCGUAGCCGACCUGAGAGGGUGACCGGCCACACUGGGACUGAGACACGGCCCAGACUCCUACGGGAGGCAGCAGUAGGGAAUCUUCCGCAAUGGGCGAAAGCCUGACGGAGCAACGCCGCGUGAGCGAAGAAGGCCUUCGGGUUGUAAAGCUCAGUCACCCGAGAAGAGCGAAUCGGAGAGGGAAUGCUCCGAUUGAGACGGUACCGGGAGAGGAAGCCCCGGCUAACUACGUGCCAGCAGCCGCGGUAAU